rnacentral:rRNA from 1 species
GAUGAACGCUGGCGGCGUGCUUAACACAUGCAAGUCGAACGAUGAAGCCCAGCUUGCUGGGUGGAUUAGUGGCGAACGGGUGAGUAACACGUGAGUAACCUGCCCUUAACUCUGGGAUAAGCCUGGGAAACUGGGUCUAAUACCGGAUAGGAGCGUCCACCGCAUGGUGGGUGUUGGAAAGAUUUAUCGGUUUUGGAUGGACUCGCGGCCUAUCAGCUUGUUGGUGAGGUAAUGGCUCACCAAGGCGACGACGGGUAGCCGGCCUGAGAGGGUGACCGGCCACACUGGGACUGAGACACGGCCCAGACUCCUACGGGAGGCAGCAGUGGGGAAUAUUGCACAAUGGGCGCAAGCCUGAUGCAGCGACGCCGCGUGAGGGAUGACGGCCUUCGGGUUGUAAACCUCUUUCAGUAGGGAAGAAGCGAAAGUGACGGUACUUGCAGAAGAAGCACCGGCUAACUACGUG